rnacentral:rRNA from 1 species
CCUACGGGUGGCAGCAGUGAGGAAUAUUGGUCAAUGGGCGCUAGCCUGAACCAGCCAAGUAGCGUGAAGGAUGACUGCCCUAUGGGUUGUAAACUUCUUUUAUAUGGGAAUAAAGUGCAGUAUGUAUACUGCUUUGCAUGUACCUUAUGAAUAAGGAUCGGCUAACUCCGUGCCAGCAGCCGCGGUAAUACGGAGGAUCCGAGCGUUAUCCGGAUUUAUUGGGUUUAAAGGGAGCGUAGGCGGGUUGUUAAGUCAGUUGUGAAAGUUUGCGGCUCAACCGUAAAAUUGCAGUUGAUACUGGCAUCCUUGAGUACAGUAGAGGUAGGCGGAAUUCGUGGUGUAGCGGUGAAAUGCUUAGAUAUCACGCAGAACUCCGAUUGCGAAGGCAGCUUACCAGACUGUUACUGACGCUGAAGCACGAGAGCGUGGGUAGCGAACAGGAUUAGAUACCCUGGUAGUC